AUCGAACGCUAGCGGGAUGCUUUACACAUGCAAGUCGAACGAGUGGCGGACGGGUGAGUAAUAUAGCGGAACGUGCCCAGUAGCGGGGGAUAACUACUCGAAAGAGUGGCUACUACCGCAUACUAUUGGAGCGGCCGAUAUCGGAGUAGCUAGUUGGUGGGGUAAAGGCUUACCAAGGUAACGAUCCGGAGCAGGGUUGAGAGGACGACCAGCCACACUGGGACUGAGACACUGCCCAUACUCCUACGGGAGGCAGCAGUGGGGAAUUUUGGACAAUGGGGGAAACCCUGCUCCAGCCAUCCCGCGUGUAUGAGAAGGCCUUCGGGUUGUAAAGUACUUUUGUCAGAGAAGCGGUAUCUGCAGAAUAAGCACCGGCUAACUACGUGCCAGCAGCCGCGGUAAUUC
rnacentral:rRNA from 1 species